rnacentral:rRNA from 1 species
AUUGAACGCUAGUGGGAUGCCUUACACAUGCAAGUCGAACGGAGUGGCGAACGGGUGAGUAAUGUAUCGGAACGUGCCCAGUAGCGGGGGAUAACUACGCGAAAGCGUAGCUAAUACCGCAUACUAUUGGAGCGGCCGAAAUCGGAUUAGCUAGUUGGUGGGGUAAAGGCUACACAAGGAGACGAUCCGUAGCUGGUUUGAGAGGACGACCAGCCACACUGUGACUUAGACCCGGCCCAGACUCCUACGGGAGGAAGCAGUGGGGAAUGUUGGACAAUGGGGGAAACCCUGAUCCAGCCAUCCCGCUGGUGCGAUGAAGGCAUUCGGGUUGUAAAGCACUUUUGGCAGGAAAGCGGUACCUGCAGAAUAAGCCCCGGCUAACUACGUGCCAGCAGCCGCGGUAAUAC